AGGCUAUGAUAUGGGUAAUGCCUCUGUAAAUCCUUGUAUCUUUCCCAAGCCUCAUAUAAUGUUUCAUAAUAUCUCAUAGUGAAUGUAGCAUUAUCAUUUUUUACUUU